CCUACGGGUGGCAGCAGUGGGGAAUAUUGGACAAUGGGCGCAAGCCUGAUCCAGCCAUGCCGCGUGUGUGAAGAAGGCCUUCGGGUUGUAAAGCACUUUCAGUGGGGAAGAAAGCCUUGGGGCUAAUACCCUCGAGGAAGGACAUCACCCACAGAAGAAGCACCGGCUAACCCCGUGCCAGCAGCCGCGGUAAUACGGAGGGUGCGAGCGUUAAUCGGAAUUACUGGGCGUAAAGCGCGCGUAGGCGGUCUGAUAAGCCGGUUGUGAAAGCCCCGGGCUCAAACUGGGAACGGCAUCCGGAACUGUCAGGCUAGAGUGCAGGAGAGGAAGGUAGAAAUCCCGGUGUAGCGGUGCAAAGCGUAGAGAUCGGGAGGAAUACCAGUGGCGAAGGCGGCCUUCUGGACUGACACUGACGCUGAGGUGCGAAAGCGUGGGUAGCAAACAGGAUUAGAUACCCCAGUAGUC
rnacentral:rRNA from 1 species